rnacentral:tRNA from 12 species
GGACGUUUAGCUCAGCUGGUUAGAGCAAUCGGCUCAUAACCGAUCGGUCCCGGGUUCGAGUCCCUGAACGUCCA